GACGAACGCUGGCGGCGUGCCUAAUACAUGCAAGUCGAACGAGAGCGACCGGUGCUUGCACUGGUCAAUCUAGUGGCGAACGGGUGAGUAACACGUGGGUAACCUGCCCAUCAGAGGGGGAUAACAUCCGGAAACGGAUGCUAAAACCGCAUAGGUCUUCGAGCCGCAUGGCUUGAAGAGGAAAAGAGGCGCAAGCUUCUGCUGAUGGAUGGACCCGCGGUGCAUUAGCUAGUUGGUGAGGUAACGACUCACCAAGGCCGUGAUGCAUAGCCGACCUGAGAGGGUGAUCGGCCACAUUGGGACUGAGACACGGCCCAAACUCCUACGGGAGGCAGCAGUAGGGAAUCUUCCGCAAUGGACGCAAGUCUGACGGAGCAACGCCGCGUGAGUGAAGAAGGUUUUCGGAUCGUAAAACUCUGUUGUUAGAGAAGAACAAGUGCUAGAAUAACUGUUAGCGCCUUGACGGUAUCUAACCAGAAAGCCACG
rnacentral:rRNA from 1 species